GAAGCUGACUAGACAGUCGCCGCUUUGUCGUCGUCCCCACUUGUGGGGAGACAGGCAGAGGGGAGGAAAGUCCGGGCUCCACAGGGCAGGGUGCCAGGUAACGCCUGGGGGGUGCAAACCUACGACCAGUGCAACAGAGAGCAAACCGCCGAUGGCCCGCAAGGGAUCAGGUAAGGGUGAAAGGGUGCGGUAAGAGCGCACCGCGCGGCUGGCAACAGUUCGUGGCACGGUAAACUCCACCCGGAGCAAGGCCAAAUAGGGGUUCAUCAGGUACGGCCCGUACUGAACCCGGGUAGGCUGCUUGAGCCAGUGAGCGAUUGCUGGCCUAGAUGAAUGAUUGUCCACGACAGAACCCGGCUUACCGGUCAGCUUCGACU
rnacentral:RNase_P_RNA from 1 species